rnacentral:rRNA from 1 species
AUGGUGGAGCUACUUGGCUACUGUGAUAGCGACUUGGCAGGAGAUAUUGACGACCGUAAAAGUACCUCGGGCGUGGCAUAUUUCUUGGGAAGAAGCAUUGUGAGUUGUCUAUCACAAAAGCAGAAGGUGGUCGCAUUAUCAUCUUGUGAAGCGGAGUAUAUUGCAGCUGCAACCGCGGCGGGUCAAGGUGUGUGGCUAGAAAGGCUACUCGGUGACCUCACUGAUAAGGAACCGGAAGGAGUGGUGCUAUAUGUUGACAACAAGUCCACGAUUGCUCUAUGUAAGAAUCCAGUGCAUCAUGAUAGAAGUAAGCACAUUGAUAUAAGGUAUCACUACAUACGAGAUUGCGUGGAAGAAGGCAAGAUUGAAGUCAACUACAUUUGCACCAACGAUCAGCUUGCAGAUAUCCUGACCAAGUCUUUGGGACGACCGAAGUUCACGGAGAUGCGGGAAAGGAUCAGCGUUCAAGCUGUGAAGUGA